rnacentral:rRNA from 1 species
AGGACGAACGCUGGCGGCGCGCUUAACACAUGCAAGUCGAGCGAGAACCGGGACUUCGGUCCCGGGGACAGCGGCGAACGGGUGAGUAACACGUGGGUAAUCGACCCUCGGCACCGGGAUAGCCCGAGGAAACUCGGAUUAAUACCGGAUGGCCCCUCCGACUCUCGAGUCGGUCGGGAAAGGUAGCUUAGGCCUCUGGCCGGGGACGAGCCCGCGGCGGAUUAGCUUGUUGGUGGGGUAAUGGCCUACCAAGGCGACGAUCCGUAGCUGGUCUGAGAGGACGAUCAGCCACACUGGGACUGAGACACGGCCCAGACUCCUACGGGAGGCAGCAGUGGGAAUCUGCGCAAUGGGCGAAAGCCUGACGCAGCGACGCCGCGUGAGGGAAGAAGGCCUUCGGGUUGUAAACCUCUUUCGAGGAGGGACGAAGCUACGUCGGGUGAACAGCCCGAGAGGGUGACCGGUACCUCCGAAGAAGAACGACCCCCGGACUAAACCUACGUACGCCAGCCACGGCCGACGGUAACUCGUAGGACGGCGGCGU